rnacentral:rRNA from 1 species
CACGUAGGGCGCAAGCGUUGUCCGGAAUUAUUGGGCGUAAAGAGCUCGUAGGCGGUCUGUUACGUCUGCUGUGAAAACCCGGGGCUUAACCCUGAGCUUGCAGUGGGUACGGGCAGACUAGAGUGCGGUAGGGGAGACUGGAAUCCUGGUGUAGCGGUGAAAUGCGCAGAUAUCAGGAGGAACACCGGUGGCGAAGGCGGGUCUCUGGGCCGUAACUGACGCUGGAGGAGCGAAAGCAUGGGGAGCGAACAGG